rnacentral:rRNA from 1 species
AAUCAACGCUGGCGGCGUGCCUAACACAUGCAAGUCGAACGCGAAAGCCCCUUCGGGGGCAAGUAGAGUGGCGUCCGGGUGAGUAACACGUGGGUAAUCUACCUCCGGGUGGGGAAUAACUCGCCGAAAGGCGGGCUAAUACCGCAUAAUGCAGCGGCACCGAAUGGUGAUUAGUUGUUAAAGCGGGGACCUUAGGGCCUCGCGUCUGGAGAGGAGCCUGCGGCAGAUUAGCUUGUUGGUAGGGAAUGGCCUACCAAGGCUGCGAUCUGUAGCUGGUCUGAGAGGACGGCCAGCCACACUGGCACUGACACACGGGCCAGACUCCUACGGGAGGCAGCAGUGGGGAAUUUUGGGCAAUGGGCGAAAGCCUGACCCAGCAACGCCGCGUGAAGGAGGAAAUCCUUCGGGAUGUAAACUUCACAAGCAAGGGAAGAGCGCGCAGGGUCGAAUAAACUCUGCGUCCGACGGUACCUUGCGUAAGCCACGGCUAACUACGUGCCAGCCGCCGCCGU